AGUUUGAUCCUGGCUCAGAACGAACGCUGGCGGCAGGCUUAACACAUGCAAGUCGAACGCCCCGCAAGGGGAGUGGCAGACGGGUGAGUAACGCGUGGGAACAUACCCUUUUCUACGGAAUAGCUCUGGGAAACUGGAAUUAAUACCGUAUACGCCCUACGGGGGAAAGAUUUAUCGGGGAAGGAUUGGCCCGCGUUGGAUUAGCUAGUUGGUGGGGUAAAGGCCUAUCAAGGCGACGAUCCAUAGCUGGUCUGAGAGGAUGAUCAGCCACAUUGGGACUGAGACACGGCCCAAACUCCUACGGGAGGCAGCAGUGGGGAAUAUUGGACAAUGGGCGCAAGCCUGAUCCAGCCAUGCCGCGUGAGUGAUGAAGGCCUUAGGGUUGUAAAGCUCUUUCACCGAUGAAGAUAAUGACGGUAGUCGGAGAAGAAGCCCCGGCUAACUUCGUGCCAGCAGCCGCGGUAA
rnacentral:rRNA from 1 species